UACGGGGGGGGCAAGCGUUGUUCGGAAUUACUGGGCGUAAAGGGCGCGUAGGCGGCUUGCUAAGUUGAAUGUGAAAACUCUGGGCUUAACCCAGAGCCUGCAUUCAAUACUGGCAGGCUAGAGUUCUGGAGGGGAUAGCGGAAUUCCUGGUGUAGCGGUGAAAUGCGUAGAUAUCAGGAGGAACACCGGUGGCGAAGGCGGCUAUCUGGACAGAGUCUGACGCUGAGGCGCGAAAGCUAGGGGAGCAAACAGG
rnacentral:rRNA from 1 species